CCCUUAGAUGUUCGGGGCCGCACGCGCGCUACACUGAAGGACUCAGCGUGUCUCUCCCCCUAUCCCGAAAGGGAUGGGCAACCCGUUGAACCUCCUUCGUGCUAGGGAUUGGGGUUUGCAAUUAUCCCCCAUGAACGAGGAAUUCCUAGUAAACGCAAGUCAUCAGCUUGCAUUGAUUACGUCCCUGCCCUUUGUACACACCGCCCGUCGCACCUACCGAUUGAAUGGUCCGGUGAAAUCUCCGGACUGGCGUGAGUCGGAGCAAUCUGACAAACACCGGAAAGUUGAUUAAACCUUACCAUUUAGAGGAAGGUGAAGUCGUAACA
rnacentral:rRNA from 1 species